GGCAGAUUCUCUUUACUUUUUCUCCUUGCAUUCCGGAUUUACUCUUGGCAAAUGACUUCCAAGCUUUGCCCAAGAUUCCUCAACACUCUCCUCAAUCUUGAAUUGCUUUGGUGAUCAAAUUACUAACAAAAACACCAAAACUUACACAAAGUGAUUAAAAUUGCUUUCAAGGGUCCUUAGCAUGCCAAUUGAGUUAAAAGGCCAAAACUACUACUCAAAAGUGUUUAAAA
rnacentral:lncRNA from 1 species